ACACUAUCAUUAACUGAAUCCAUAGGUUAAUGAGGCGAACCGGGGGAACUGAAACAUCUAAGUACCCCGAGGAAAAGAAAUCAACCGAGAUUCCCCCAGUAGCGGCGAGCGAACGGGGAGGAGCCCAGAGCCUGAAUCAGUGUGUGUGUUAGUGGAAGCGUCUGGAAAGGCGCGCGAUACAGGGUGACAGCCCCGUACACAAAAAUGCACAUACUGUGAGCUCGAUGAGUAGGGCGGGACACGUGGUAUCCUGUCUGAAUAUGGGGGGACCAUCCUCCAAGGCUAAAUACUCCUGACUGACCGAUAGUGAACCAGUACCGUGAGGGAAAGGCGAAAAGAACCCCGGCGAGGGGAGUGAAAAAGAACCUGAAACCGUGUACGUACAAGCAGUGGGAGCCUCUUAAUGGGGUGACUGCGUACCUUUUGUAUAAUGGGUCAGCGACUUAUAUUCUGUAGCAAGGUUAACCGAAUAGGGGAGCCGAAGGGAAACCGAGUCUUAACUGGGCGUUAAGUUGCAGGGUAUAGACCCGAAACCCGGUGAUCUAGCCAUGGGCAGGUUGAAGGUUGGGUAACACUAACUGGAGGACCGAACCGACUAAUGUUGAAAAAUUAGCGGAUGACUUGUGGCUGGGGGUGAAAGGCCAAUCAAACCGGGAGAUAGCUGGUUCUCCCCGAAAGCUAUUUAGGUAGCGCCUCGUGAAUUCAUCUCCGGGGGUAGAGCACUGUUUCGGCAAGGGGGUCAUCCCGACUUACCAACCCGAUGCAAACUGCGAAUACCGGAGAAUGUUAUCACGGGAGACACACGGCGGGUGCUAACGUCCGUCGUGAAGAGGGAAACAACCCAGACCGCCAGCUAAGGUCCCAAAGUCAUGGUUAAGUGGGAAACGAUGUGGGAAGGCCCAGACAGCCAGGAUGUUGGCUUAGAAGCAGCCAUCAUUUAAAGAAAGCGUAAUAGCUCACUGGUCGAGUCGGCCUGCGCGGAAGAUGUAACGGGGCUAAACCAUGCACCGAAGCUGCGGCAGCGACACUAUGUGUUGUUGGGUAGGGGAGCGUUCUGUAAGCCUGUGAAGGUGGCCUGUGAGGGUUGCUGGAGGUAUCAGAAGUGCGAAUGCUGACAUAAGUAACGAUAAAGCGGGUGAAAAGCCCGCUCGCCGGAAGACCAAGGGUUCCUGUCCAACGUUAAUCGGGGCAGGGUGAGUCGACCCCUAAGGCGAGGCCGAAAGGCGUAGUCGAUGGGAAACAGGUUAAUAUUCCUGUACUUGGUGUUACUGCGAAGGGGGGACGGAGAAGGCUAUGUUGGCCGGGCGACGGUUGUCCCGGUUUAAGCGUGUAGGCUGGUUUUCCAGGCAAAUCCGGAAAAUCAAGGCUGAGGCGUGAUGACGAGGCACUACGGUGCUGAAGCGACAAAUGCCCUGCUUCCAGGAAAAGCCUCUAAGCAUCAGGUAACAUUAAAUCGUACCCCAAACCGACACAGGUGGUCAGGUAGAGAAUACCAAGGCGCUUGAGAGAACUCGGGUGAAGGAACUAGGCAAAAUGGUGCCGUAACUUCGGGAGAAGGCACGCUGAUAUGUAGGUGAAGCGACUUGCUCGUGGAGCUGAAAUCAGUCGAAGAUACCAGCUGGCUGCAACUGUUUAUUAAAAACACAGCACUGUGCAAACACGAAAGUGGACGUAUACGGUGUGACGCCUGCCCGGUGCCGGAAGGUUAAUUGAUGGGGUUAGCGGCAACGCGAAGCUCUUGAUCGAAGCCCCGGUAAACGGCGGCCGUAACUAUAACGGUCCUAAGGUAGCGAAAUUCCUUGUCGGGUAAGUUCCGACCUGCACGAAUGGCGUAAUGAUGGCCAGGCUGUCUCCACCCGAGACUCAGUGAAAUUGAACUCGCUGUGAAGAUGCAGUGUACCCGCGGCAAGACGGAAAGACCCCGUGAACCUUUACUAUAGCUUGACACUGAACAUUGAGCCUUGAUGUGUAGGAUAGGUGGGAGGCUUUGAAGUGUGGACGCCAGUCUGCAUGGAGCCGACCUUGAAAUACCACCCUUUAAUGUUUGAUGUUCUAACGUGGGCCCCUAAUCCGGGUUGCGGACAGUGUCUGGUGGGUAGUUUGACUGGGGCGGUCUCCUCCUAAAGAGUAACGGAGGAGCACGAAGGUUGGCUAAUCCUGGUCGGACAUCAGGAGGUUAGUGCAAUGGCAUAAGCCAGCUUGACUGCGAGCGUGACGGCGCGAGCAGGUGCGAAAGCAGGUCAUAGUGAUCCGGUGGUUCUGAAUGGAAGGGCCAUCGCUCAACGGAUAAAAGGUACUCCGGGGAUAACAGGCUGAUACCGCCCAAGAGUUCAUAUCGACGGCGGUGUUUGGCACCUCGAUGUCGGCUCAUCACAUCCUGGGGCUGAAGUAGGUCCCAAGGGUAUGGCUGUUCGCCAUUUAAAGUGGUACGCGAGCUGGGUUUAGAACGUCGUGAGACAGUUCGGUCCCUAUCUGCCGUGGGCGCUGGAGAACUGAGGGGGGCUGCUCCUAGUACGAGAGGACCGGAGUGGACGCAUCACUGGUGUUCGGGUUGUCAUGCCAAUGGCACUGCCCGGUAGCUAAAUGCGGAAGAGAUAAGUGCUGAAAGCAUCUAAGCACGAAACUUGCCCCGAGAUGAGUUCUCCCUGACCCUUUAAGGGUCCUGAAGGAACGUUGAAGACGACGACGUUGAUAGGCCGGGUGUGUAAGCGCAGCGAUGCGUUGAGCUAACCGGUACUAAUGAACCGUGAGGCUUAACCUU
rnacentral:rRNA from 1 species